UGGCUCAGAGGUUAAAGCGUCCACCUGCAAUGUGGGAGACCUAGGUUCAAUCCCUGG
rnacentral:tRNA from 1 species